rnacentral:rRNA from 1 species
CCUACGGGGGGCAGCAGUGAGGAAUAUUGGUCAAUGGGCGGGAGCCUGAACCAGCCAAGCCGCGUGAGGGAAGAAGGUACAGCGUAUCGUAAACCUCUUUUGUCAGGGAACAAAGGCGGGGACUAGUCCCCGGAUGAGGGUACCUGAAGAAAAAGCAUCGGCUAACUCCGUGCCAGCAGCCGCGGUAAUACGGAGGAUGCGAGCGUUAUCCGGAUUUAUUGGGUUUAAAGGGUGCGCAGGCGGUCUGUUAAGUCAGCGGUCAAAGCCCGGGGCUCAACCCCGGCCCGCCGUUGAAACUGGCAGUCUCGAGUUGGAGAGAAGUAUGCGGAAUGCGCGGUGUAGCGGUGAAAUGCAUAGAUAUCGCGCAGAACUCCGAUUGCGAAGGCAGCAUGCCGGCUCCACACUGACGCUGAGGCACGAAAGCGUGGGUAUCGAACAGGAUUAGAUACCCCUGUAGUC